rnacentral:tRNA from 1 species
GGGGUUGUAGCUCAGUGGUAAAGUACUUGCCUAGCCUGUGUGAAGCGCUGGGUUCAAUCCUCAGCACCCCA